UACGUAGGGUGCAAGCGUUGUCCGGAAUUAUUGGGCGUAAAGAGCUCGUAGGCGGCCUGUUGCGUCGGCUGUGAAAACCCGGGGCUCAACCCCGGGCCUGCAGUCGAUACGGGCAGGCUAGAGUCCGGCAGGGGAGACUGGAAUUCCUGGUGUAGCGGUGAAAUGCGCAGAUAUCAGGAGGAACACCGGUGGCGAAGGCGGUUCUCUGGGCCUUACCUGACGCUGAGGAGCGAAAGCAUGGGGGAGCAAACAGG
rnacentral:rRNA from 1 species